AAGGCUGAAAACAGGCUGAAAUACAUCAUGUAUACACUGAUAUACAUAUCAGUGCAACAAAUACGUGGCUGAAAUCGGAAAUACAGGUCGCAAGGGGAAGAAAUGGAUUGUAUACACUUGGUAUACGGUUCAAUAUACAAGAAAAUUGGUCAAAAUCCGACCCGUAUACAAGAAUAUACAACAGAUAUAUACAAAAACGGAAAUUGGGUUAAAUCCCAAAGUGGCUGCGAAUUUAGGCCCAAGAGAGGCCCAAAUUCAAUUUCUCCUUUACCUAACUUAUUUAAUUGUGUGAUUAUUCAUUUAUCUAUUUUUUAUUUUUUUUCAAUCGCGACUUAAUUUAAUUAAAUCCCCCAAAAGAUGAACCAUAUUCUUUAUGUUAGUUUUCUUUAAAAAUAAUUCAUUCUUAUCAACUCUUAUACUUAUUCAAAUAUUAUUAAUUUUUUAGUCAAAACUUUCACUUAUCUUUAAUUUGAUUAAAAUAAUUUCUUGGUUUAUCUACCAAGUUGGUUCAAAUUAUUAUUUCUAAAAAAUGACGUAAAUAAAUUUUAACUGAUCUAAUUUUGUUAAAAUCCUAAUUGACCAAAUUGUUUCAAUUAAGAUCCUAUUUUCUAAAAAAUUAAAAAUUAUUCUUUAUUUAAUUAUUUUUAUCAAAGUUAAUCGAAUGUCGUAAAAUACUAUAUAUUUUAUGAUUAAAUCAUUUUCCAAAUUUUCUUUUUUUUAAAGAUAUGUUCUUUAAGAGUCUUCUUCAUUUAAAUCACUUUUUUUUUACUCAUUUCAAAAUCGUUCUAAGUUAAAGUAUUUUUCAAAAUAAACUUUAAAAAAUGUUAGUCAAAACCCUUUCAAUUGAUUAAUAAUAAUAAUAAAAUAAAAAAAUACUUACUUAGUCAUUUUCUCACAAAGUUUAGUCAAUUAAUUUAAAAUGAUCUUCAUGCUUUAAUGUGUUAAAUUGGUUUAAUUUAUUUUAAAAUGAACUAAAUAAAAUUCUAAUUAGUCUAGUUUUAUUAAUUUUCUAACCACUUGUACCUUAAUUCAAAUGUUUUCAUUUUAGGUCUCUUCCUCUAAAAAGAUAGAAUAAAAUAGGUUCAUUUCUUAAUUAUUUUCUCAAACUUAAUCGAACAGUGUAAAUUAUUAUAUAUUUUAUGUUAAAUUAUUUUUUGUAAAAAUAGUCAAAUACAUUUUAGUCAAGUCACAGGUCAACCGCGUGCUAGCGGACACUUCGAAUGCUUAAACCCUUCUCGAAGUGUAAAUUGAACCCCGAACCCCCUUUUGGUAUUUUCAAAUGAUUUUUUCUGUUUAAAUCUUUGAAAAUUAUAAGUUUUCUUAAUUUCUUUAAAAAAUUAGGUGGCGACUCUUUUCUAAGUAUUCUUCUCCAAUUGUCUUUUACAUAGAACAUUUCAAAAUGUGAUUUUUCUAUAAAUAGCUAAAUUACGGCACAACAAUGAUUCCAUAUCAUGAUACCAUAUCGCAUGGCCAAACUCUAGUCUCCCUGUUAACCCUUCUUUCCUCAUUCUAAUUUCUAAACUUAUGUUUUUGCACUUCUCUAUCAUAAUUGUUAAGUCUUCUUUACAAAUUAUAAGCCCACAUAGUUUUAUUUGUUCUUUUACUCUUUAAAAAUUAUUGUCUCCACUCGCACACUACUUUUUGAUUAAAUCCCUCCCCCCAAAAACCCAAAAUUUCUAAACCUAUCUACAGUCUCCCCGUUAACCUUUUAACAGAUGGAAAAAAAAAAAUCCCUCAUUCUAAUAUUUAACCCCUUUUUUUUGGAACUUUGCUAUCAUAAUCAUAAGUUUUUUAAGGAGUUUCCUUCCAAACUUUAUUGCUAGUAAUAAUAAAGAUAAUGGUGCCCCCAUUGCGUUCAAAUUCUAAGUACGCCUCUGAUCAGGAGAUAUAGAACAGCUCGAAGCUUCAGUUAUGGAUAAUACAAAAAGAUGACAUAUGAUGGCAUUCAGAGGAAGAACCGUCAAUAGUAAGAUAUAUAAGAAUUUCAUGGGUAGACAAACUUGCAUUAUGUCAGUAAAAAAUGGACAAAGCACAGAAGACCUAUAUACAAUGUAGGACUAUCAACAUAACUUUGAAAAAAAAAAGAUUGCUUACUUGAGGAUAAUACUUUUACAAAGCAGAACAAUGCCUCCAAAACAAUUUCCUAUGGCCCAUGCCUUAAUCAGUUUUGCACAUUCGAUUGCCGUUGUACAGGGUCUUCAAAAGGCUGCUGAAGCACAGGCAUCUAUUAUAUUAUCCAAUUCCCUAUAAUUUUGAAAAACAUCUCGCCCUUGAUUUCUCCACCUGAGCAUUCUGUCAUAGAGAUCCUUCAUGUUCAGCUGUAUGCUGUUUAUCUCUAGUGUGAGUUGGAGUAGCCUUUUCACACACUUGACUAGAUAUCUACCAACCUUUAGUUUCACGUCACACACAAAAUUGAGUCCACAUUCCUCAGUUUCAAACAUAGAAGCUGAUAUACUUUCACUUACAUCAGUUAUGUCAAAGACAAUACGAGCUCCUGCUGUAGCCUCUUUUCCUGUGUAUGUCUCAGCCCAUGCAAUCAAACCUUUUUGCCUUUCAUGGUUAGAUUUCCUAUCCUUCAUUCCAGGUUGUCCUCCGGUUAAUUGCAUGAGAGUACCAGUUGCACCAUAAUGCAAAAGCAGUUCACAUUCAGCAUCACUUAUAUGAUUCAAGCAUCCGAACAAGAUGCCUAUUGGUAUCCUCCGAAACAACAUGUUCUUCUGUACACUAACACCUGGUGUUCGUUCUUUAUCUGGAGCAAAGCUUUCAUUUACUUUGUCUGAGUGCCCAUUGUACAUGUCCUGAAAUUCUUUAAUCCAGAAAGCAAGUGCUUGGCAAUUGGAAUCCAGGAUAUUCACCAUUUCCUUCUUAAAGGACAGAGAUCCCCUGACUUCCUUGUUGCGACAAAGAGUUGUCUCAUUGCCUUCAUCAGAGCCAAGCUUCUUAAUAGUCCAUAAAUUGGAAAAUUUGAUCAGAUUAUCAACUAAAAGUUCCAAGUAGGAUCCACCAGCAGGGUUCAAACUCCAUGCUAUAAACUUUGCAGCAGUAGCAAGAAAAGGAGCUUUAACGUCCUGUGAAUUGUUAAGAUUACCUUCUCCAUAUAUGCAUGCUGACCUGUACUUGUCCCUCAAACUCUUUUCUGAGAAGAGCAAAAUAGAAGCGAAAAUGAACCAAGAAGGGAAAGUUAUUGUAAUUGCCCUGAAAUAAAUAGCAGAGACAGUACCAUAUUAGCCAUAAACUCAGACAGUGCAAACUAAUUGUGUGAAACAUCAUGAAACAAAAACUUACCAAAUAGAACUUUGAUUUACUUUGGCAAUAUUCACAGCUUUAUUUGAAAAUGCGUCAACUGGCUUGCAAACUUCAUGAACUAGAAACUCCAAAGAUUCCAAGGACAAAGGUCCAGUCAAAAUCCUCAAAAUCUGCUUCUUGCAUGGAAAGUAAGAAUGUGAAAAUGGAAGUUUUGAUCCAAGAUCCAUUGAUAUGCCCCACCACAUUGGUCUGGAAAUAAUAUCUAGCACUAGGGAGACCAGCUUAACAUGAAGCUCUAGAAUAGAAGCCAAACCCCUGCAAAACAACAGUGCAACAAUGAGGAACCCAAAAGAUCUAACAACAGGAGAAUCUUUCAAAUUAAUUAGAGUUUUCAAGUAGUAUAUUAACAUCACAGAGAGCCAUAAUGUUAUCCUUCAAUAGAAAAAUCCAAGAAGAAAAUGAUGAAUUAGAUAAAAAUUUAUAAUGCAGUACAAAAUAUAUAUGCAAGCAUAUAGACUAAAAAGCUUAUAGAAAUUACUGGAGUUAUCUGUACAGAAACCUUACUGGUUACUGACAACAGGAAAGAAGAAAAGAAAAACAGGUGUGGGACUUACGUCAGUAGAAACCAGUAAUGCAACAGGGAUCUAGUCUCAGUAAACAUGACAGGAGAAAGUACCAAACAUAUAACAAUUGAACGCCACUCUUUCCUCUCAUGAAAUUCCAUUUCUAAACAAAGGAAAGGUCUCUUAAUGACCUCUUGCAAAAUUUGAGAUACAUCAUACUUCAGAAGCAUGUGAUCUAGUUGCCAUGAGAGCAACCUGCGAGCAAAGGAAACUAUUAUGGAAAAAGUGAUUCAUUAGAUGGCUUACACCAAAACAAUUAAGAAGCAACUCAUAUGAAUCAGGUGCACAUGUUUACAAGACUAAAAUUCAUGUAAUUAACACAAUAGUUUAUGCAAUCUUAUUAGCAUAUUUAUCAUGAAGGACACAGAUAGCAUUUCCCAUUUACUAAGACAGGAAAUCAACACUGUCAUUUCUCUUGUAACAUUAAACUAUAUUGCCUCAAUGCCAAAUGUAAUCUAUUCUCAUUUUUUUGAUAUAAGAAAUCGAUAUGCAUAUCAGUCCAGGAAACAAAAAAGGGACAAUCAAGAGUACUGUUCUUUUUCUAACUUCAGUUCAAGCUGUCUUUUGUAUCCAGAGACUUCUAAGAGACAUGAUGCAACAUUAAGCAUGUUUAAUCAGAACUACAAGAAAAAUUGAAGUAAUUGGAUGACAUGGAAUUCCAAAAUAUGAUACAAUAUAAGAAAUAAAGGUAGGCCAACAACCUAGUAGGUUCGAAAUAGAGGAUACAGAAAUAAAAAAUCCAUGAAUAAUAGAAAAGCUGUUUAACCAACCUUAGCGGUAUUUUUCCACUCUCAAUGUUAAUUUCCUUUUGACAAUGUACCUGUUUCAGCAAAGCACAGUGUCUUCCAUCAAUGGAUCUUAGGUCAAGCAUAGGAGGCAAUUUCAGUAAAUAGUGAACUCGUGAUGCUACUGCCACCCUCACAACAGCAUACAAAAUGAUUGGAGAAAGAUCUGCUGGAAUAACAUAUAACAUGCCAAACAUUUCAAUAAAUAAGUUCAACUAUAAUUAGCAAAGACUACAAUCAAUGGGAAAGCAGAUAUGGAAAUUCUACAAACUCGUUAACAUCUUUUUGUAUUUCUAUGCUUCUACUGAUUAUGUUGACCUGAAAACCAACUCUCUGACAUGAAAGAAAGACCCUACAGAACAUAGGACCUAAGUAAACUUACUAACAUGACUAAACCUUAAUCACAACUAAUUGGUAUCACCUAUGCACAUCUUUUUCUCCCAUUAUGUCCUAUAUUUUGCUAAGUCUUGAUGGAUUCAGGAAAUUAUAAGUCUUUAGCGACAAUUUCCUACCAUUUAAUGUUAGAUCAACCUAUCCAUUCUAAACGUACAACCGCUGCUUCUAGAGGUCUACAUGAAAUUUCUUCAUUUAGCAUCCUCUCUACACAAAAGAAAGCAGCUUUUAAAUAGAAACCUAAAACAUGCAUAGUUGAAAAAGACAAUUACGUUGAAAUCUUUCAAGUUUCUGCAGAACAUCAGCACAAGAUUCAACUAUUCUGGUACAAUCCUGACCAGAAAUCAAUCCACCAAUUUGCAGAACCUCCCCGUCAGCAGUUUUAAGAACCUUGCAUUCAAUUGAAGAAGAUAGCACUGUAGCAAUCGUCUUCACCAAGUACUCAAUUGUACAGUUAAAGACCUACAGGUAAUUACAAAAUUGCAGAAACAUCUCAAAUUAGACAUUCAAAAUGAAAAAAAAGCUCAUAAUUAUCUUCUUCUUUUACUUUCGUUGUUUUGUGAUGAGAUAUGACCUGGGAUGAUGUGAAGCACAAAGCGGAAAGGGCAGUGUCCAAAACCCUAACUCUAGAAAUUGUUUCGGCGAGGUUAAGCGAACGGUUGAGAUUUGUGAUAGAGAGGUCCAUAUUUGGAGCUUCAUUUCCGGUCGCCGGACUUAUGGACUUCAGUUCAGAUGCUAGUGACACAAAGAGUGACCUUAUUUCUGGAACCGUCGACAUUGACAGCAAACAAGACUACCCUGGAGAAUUAUUUCCCGCCAACUUCCCCGAUUUAUUUGGAAUGAUAAAAAGGACAGCGACCGCUUCAACAUAACUAGUGUUUUAUUUAUUAUUUUUUUAAGAGAGAGAAUUAUUCAAAACACCUAACUUGGAAAUUAUUAUUUUUGUUUUUGAAUUAUCUAAAUUUCAGGACAGAAGAGAAAAAUAUUGCAAAACAUGUUUUUUUUUCUUAAUAAAAGAAAAGAGAAACGUUUACUAAUAGUGAGGUUUGAAACCACAUUACUAGUAUGGAAAACAUUACUAGUGUCCCUUUCUUACCACCGAGCCAUAAAAUCAAUUUUUUUAGGGAGUUCACAAGUUAGUAUAUAUAUAUCUAUAUCUAUAUUACCUUAAAAGCAUGAACUCCUAACUUGAAUGUUAAAUUACUAUAAUAUCUCUAACUUAGGUUGUGACUUUUUCGAUGAGUUGUGACUUUUUUCAAAGGGUUGUGAUUUAUCGAUGAGUUGUGACUUUUCCAAAGAGUUGUGACUUUUUCAAUAAGUUGUGACUUUUUCAACGGGUUGUGACUUCUUGAAAAGUUCAUGACUUUUCAGAUAAGACACAAAAAAACACUUGUUCACACUACCCUUUGUUGGCUAUAAAUAAAGGAGUUUCCUCUCAUUAUUCAACCACAAUUUUUUUUAAUCUACUCUUCUUCUUCUAGAUAAUUAAUAUAUACUCAUUUUCAUAGUCAUAAAUACACUUAUGCAACCUCUCCUUUAUAAGAAGUGUAAUGAUUUUCUGCUGCACAAACUACAACUUGGUGUUCAAGCUAUGUAAGUCUCAAACUGUUGGAGAAAAAUAAUUUGAUCAAAAAUUUAUUUGAAGAGUCCAAACUAGUUUUAAUAGGUAUUCUUAUGUGUCUAAUUUAUUUGUUGUAAUUUUAUUUGUAUUCAGUUUAAUACAUAAAAAAAUAAUCAUGAGAGGUGGCGACGCAUCUUUAAGACCACAAAGUUAAAAAACAUUUUGAUAUAUAAUACAUAUCCUUACAUUAAAAGUUUUCUUUAUUUUUUGAAAUUUCAUGUCAAGUUAAAAUUCGACAAAUCUAUAUCCCUUUGUAGUCUAUAAAUAGAAAGUUUUUCACACACUUUUCCACAAAGUUAAAAGACAUUUUGAUAUAUAAUACAUAUCCUUAAAUUAAAAGUCUUCUUUAUUUUUUGAAAUUUCAUGUCAAGUUCAAAUUCGACAAAUCUAUAUCCCUUUGUAGUCUAUAAAUAGAAAGUUUUUCUCACACUUUUAAACUACGAAUUUUGUAAGUUUUAUGUUCUUCUUCUUAAAACAAGAAAGAUUGUGAGAGUUGUUUAGUUAUGCAAUUACAAUAUUUUUGUGGGUAAACUAGACACAUCAACAAAAAUUGAUGCAACAAGGAGAAUGAAAUAACUCAACUUUAAACAAGAAGACUAUCUAGAUAAUUAAUAUGUACUCAUUUUCCUAGCCAUAAAUAUACUUUUGCAACACCUUUUACUUGAUAAGAAGUUCAAUGAUUUUCUGUUGCACAAACUACAACUUGGUGUUCAAGUUGUGUAAGUCUCAAACUUUUGGAGAAAAAAUGAUUUGAUCAAAAACUUGUUUGAAGAGUUGAAACUAGAUUUAAUAGGUACUCCUCCAUUUUCAAUUUAUUUGUUGUAAAUUUAUUUUUUAUUCAGUUUAAUAUAGAAUGUUCUUUUUUCUUGGGGGUGUGGUGGCACUUCUUUAAGACCACAAAGGUAAAAGACAUUUUUAUAUAUUCUACAUGUCCUUAAAUUAAAAGUUUUUAAAAUAAAAUAAAAUUUCAAGUUAAACUAAAAUUAGACAAAUCUAUAUAUAUCUUUUUUAUCUAUCUAUACUACCUUGAAAGAAUGAACUACCUAACUUAAAUGUUAAAUUAUUAUAAUACUCCAAACAUAAAACACCAAAUUUAGUAUAUCUUCUAUAUUUUGUAUUGUAUAUAUUACAUUAUAUUAUAAUAUUAUAUUAUAAUAUUAUAUUAUAUUAUAUUAUAAUAUUAUAUUAUAUUAUAUUAUAUUAUAUUAUACUAAAAGCAGACAGCUUUUCACAUUAAAGGGUUGUGAUAUUUUCAAAGAGUUAUAACUCUUUCGAUGAAUUGUGACAUUUUUGAAUGGUUGUGACUUUUCUACAGGAUUGCGACUUUUGCGAAGAGUUGUGACUUUUCUGAAUGGUUGUGACUUUUCCAUAGAGUUAUGACUUAUUCGAUGGGUGUGACCUUUUUGAAGGAUUGUUACCUUUAGAUCUAAAGGGUUGCGACUUUUUUAGCACAAUAAGCAUUUUUUCAUAAACUACCCUUUUGUCUAAAAAAAAGUGGGGUUUCCUCAAAAAAUUUAACUACAAUUUUUAAAAGUUUUUCAUCGUUUUUCUUCUUCUUAAAACACAAUAUUUAGUAUAUCUUCUAUAUUUUAUAUCAUAUUUAUAUUAUAUUAUAUUAUAUUAUAUUAUAUUAUAUGAAAUUAAAAGAAUACAUCAUUUCACAUUGAAUGGUUACGAUUUUUUCAAAAGAGUUGUGAUUUUUCCGAUGAGUUGUGACCUUUCUUAGGGGUUGUGACUUUUAUGAUAUGCUCAUACUACCCUAUGUUAACUAUAAAUGGAGGGGUUUCCUUACAUUUUAAAACUAUGAUUUUUUAUGUUUUCUAUUCUUCUCUUAAGCUCAGUUAAAUUUAAACACUCCCUAACAUGAAUGUUAAGUUAAUAUAACAAUCCAAUUAAAAACAUCCAAUUUAGUAUAUCUUAUAUAUUUUAUAUCAAUUUUAUUUAUAUUAUAUUACAUUAAAAGUAAGAACUCCAACAAUACAAUAAUAACUAAGUAGCGCACUAUGGGCAGGGAGGACAAAGUAUAUUUAAGAGGUGUAACUAAGAGAUUUUUAGAGGUGAUAAGGUAAAAGUACCUCCCUAGACUAUGACCAAAAUGCCAGGAUGUACCUUAGCUAAACUGAGGUCCUAUUACCCCCCACCUCGAACCCAUUUUUUUGUAAUUUUGUGCACCUUUUUUGCUUACAUAGCAUCUCUCACGCGCCUCAACUCUGUGGAGUCACACGCUGUGCCACGUUACCCAAAAUGUGCACAAAAUUAUAAAAAAAAAUGAGUUUUAGAGGGGGGGGGGGGUAAUAGGACCUUAGUUUAGUUAAGGUGUGUUGUUGGGAUUUCAGUCAUAGUUUAGGGGGGUACUUGUGCCUUAUCCCAUUUUAAGAGUGAGUAACUUUCAGUAGUAAUCAUAAGAAAGUUUACACCCAUUAUUCAUAGAAACUUUUAGUACAUGGUUUGAUAUUCACGUGCAACGCACGUGCGUCAAAACUAAUAUAUAUAUAUAUAAAUAUAUAUAUAUCUAUAUAUAUAUAUUUAGUUUUUUUAAUACAAAUUCAUGGCUUAAGAUAUCAUCCAUGAAGUGUGUGAUGAGGUUUAGAAAGAAGGAAAAACUUAGACCUAGGUUCAUUGGCCCGUUUGAGCCUUUGAGGUCUUGGAGAGGUGGCCUAUAAGUUGGCCUUGCCAACUAGACCGUCUAUUGUUCAUGCUGUUUUCCUUGUUUCCAUGCUUCAAAAGUAUGUACCCGAUGAGUCCCAUGUGAUUUCGCUUAAUUAAGUGCUUUUGGAUCUGGAUUUGGCAUUGAGGAGGAGAAUAUAUAUUGGAUUGACAGGUUUGAAAGCUAAGGACUAAGGAUAUAGCUUAUGUUAAAGUUCAAUGGAAGCACCACCAGAUUGGAGAGGCUACUUAGAAGAUCGAGUCUGAUAUGCUUUCCAGAUAUCCUCAACUUCUCGAAGCUUCAGGUAUUUUUCCUUAUUUUAUGUUCGAGGACAAACAUGGAUUUUAGUGAUAGAUAAUGUAAUAACCCUGAAGGUCAUUUUGAAAUUUCUUGAAAAAAAAUACUAUUUUAUCCCUCUCAAUAGUUAUCCUGGGUUAUGUUUUAUCAGUAUAUGAGGUUAGAUUUGAACCUGAUCGAAAAGUUGGGAUUUUUGAAGGUUUUGGAAUCUUGGAAGCCCUUAAGUUAAUAUAAGUGAUUUUAGUUAGCAUUUUCUGCUACAAGUCUCAAAAUGAAAUUAUAUCAGUUUCAUUAGCUCUAAAAUGCAUACUUUGAUCUAGUAGUGUGGUUGUUUUUAGUUCCAAAGACUUUAUGUGGAUUUGAGCCCAUGAGUUGAAUUUUUAGUUGAAUUUACGCUAAGGUUUGACUUUGGUCAACUUUCAGUGUUCGGGCAUUCAAAUUUGAUUUUCGUUGAUUCUGUUGGAUUCAAGAGGUAGUUUAAAGACUAGGUAACACCUUGGUUCAGUUUCUAGGGGUUCCGAUGGUGUUUUGGUUUUUUUAGUGGAAAUUAGUUAGUUAUGGGUUGUACAGGUGUUGGGUCAAUGAGACCUCGACUCCAUGUUCUGAUGGUUCAAAUGGGUUUAGAAUGUCAAAUUAAGUAGGGUAGCAUAUUUAGUUUGUGUGCACAGGAUUCCGAAUGAAUCCCGAGGGUCUAUUCAGAGAAUUUCGAAUCUUGAUGGUUUGUUGUCACUGUUGUUAUCUGUUGUCUGAUGAUUUCCUUAUCACAAUCGUAUGGACUUCUACUGUGAUAAAUCGCAUAUGUCAAAAUUUGGGAUUGACCUAAUUCCUUCUUCACGACCGCAUAGAACAAAGUACAUGAGAAUAAUUUAAUUCUCCAAAAUGUGAUUCUUCUCCAUUACUCCAUUUUUGAACCUUAAGAACUCAAGUUAGGCAAUUUCAAAGGAGAUUUUUGAGAUCAAACUUUUAGGUAAGUGAUUUUAACUUAAACCCUUCAUUAUCCAUUUAUUAUUUCAUGAUUUUUAGCAUAAAAAAUAUCUAUUUCAAAUUCAAAAUUUGGAGAUUUUCUCAUGAAUUUGGGUUUUAGUAAAUUGGACUUUGGAGUAUGAUUUCUAACUCGUUUUUUGAUAUAUUUUGCGUGUGAGUUCCUAAUUCCUUGAGUAGCAUGUUGUUCUAUAAAAAUUAUAGAAUUACUCUUAGCCCUCGGGUUUGACCUUUUAGGUUGAUUUGGAUCCAAAUUUUAAAAUCAACAUUAUGAGUAUCAUUAUUCGUAUUUUCUCAUGAAAAUUUUGUUUUUGAUUAGAUUGUGUGGAUUCUGAGGCUCGACAUAAUGGAAAUGCUCAAGUCCUGAUUUGAUUUAUUCACUUUAAGGCAAGUGGACCUUUUUUACUCUUUUACAAAGUGGGUUGGGCCUUCUUUGAUGUGUCUUAAUGAUUGCUAGUCAUGGGGAAUGAUGGGGUGUACGUGUGAUUAAGGUAGAGAGUUCCCACCCGAACACUAGAAUCAAGCAUGUAAGGUUUAUUACACUUGUUAAACUAUUAUUAUGUAUUAUGAUCAUGGGUGGCCUUGGAUGACUAGUAUGAUUCCUUAUUGAUGAUAUGCUCGGGAUUGAUGCAGUUAAUUUAUUGAUGUGAACUUGUUAUCCUCUCAUUAUGCAUAUGAUCAUGUCUAUUUGGAUUGGUGCUAAAACUCUGAUAUAAAAUGACACUAUGCGAAAUUGAUGUAAAAGAAAGAUAAAGAGGAUAUUAUUUCGAGGGACGUUCCUAUAACACCUCAGAAGUGCCUAGCACAAAUGAAAUCAGGAAAGUGUAGAAAAUUGUUGAAGUCUGCAAAUUUUGGUGUUUAUGAACGAGGUUUACGGGUUGUAUAAUGGAUCACAACUCGUAGGAACCAUUUAUGGUUGAGACUUAAGAUUUCUGGAAUUUGGACUCAGUGAUUACAAGUGGGUUUACGGGCUGUACUAUAUUCUACGGGUCAUAGACUCCUCUCGUGAAAGAACUUCUGAAAGUUGGAAAGUUGAUUUAAACAGGACGAAGGGUAUUAUGGGUCGUGGUUAAGUCUACAAGUCAUGGAUGGUCUUCAUAGACCAAGACCUGAACUUUAGUAUUUCAGAACAUCAGGUUGUAUAUUACGAGCCAAUAGUAUGGGUCGUACAUGGGACUAUGAACUGUAUUUGGGUCUCGUAGAUCAAACCUCAGAGGAUUGAUGAUUUCAGUACUUGAGAGUCUAUGGGCAACUAGUACGGGCUAUAAAUGGAAUUAUGAAUCGUAAAGGGGUUUCGUGGUUCAGAGUUUAGAAACUCAAGGAUUUCAGGUGAUUUCUACAGACAUACUUCUAUGGGUCGUAGAAGGAACUACAGUCCGUAGAUACGCUCGUAGUGUUUGUCCACCAAUUUUAUUUGUGGUUAAUUGGGUCUUUUUUCACUCUUUUAAUACAUAUACUAUGUUGUUUUAACCUAUUCUAAGUGGGUUUACGUGACUCCUAGGUACCCUAACCUCCUCUUUCGCUCUCAUUCUCCCAAAUUCCAAUUUCUUCUCUCUCAAGUCUCCUCCCUCAAGCAAGCUAGGGUUCAAGAUUCAAGCCUCCAUUGAAUAGUUCAAGUGAGGAUUUCUAUCAAGGUAUGUGGUAACAUCAUCAGUGGGUCUCUCUUCACCUCCCAUUGAGUCCUAAAGAAACCCUAAUCUCUUCAAGUUAUGAAUUUUCCAAAUCUAGGGUUUCAUGAUUUCUUAUGGAUUCUUAUUAAAUUUCAGUUUAUUCUUCAUGAUUGAUCUUACUAUGCAUGAAUUGAUUAUAAUUCAAUGUUUUAAAAGAUAUUUUCAUAAACCCAUUGCAUGCAAGUAUUUUCAUAAGCAUAAUUAUGCUAUUUUUAGAAUGCAUGCAUCAGAUUAUCAGAUUUCUAUGAUUAAGGAUACUUUCAGAUAAAGUAUCAUUCAAUAUAUAUGAUUAUCAUGAGUUAGAUGCUUUCAGAUAAAGUGUCUUUCAUAUUAUUUCAGUUGUAAUGAUUUAUAAACUUUCUUGUAUGCUUUCAGAUUAUCAGACACAUGACAUCAAGAUAUGUCAUCAAUGCUUUUGAAUAUUUUCCUAAAAGUAUGUUUUGAUUAGUAUGGUACCCAGAAUAACAUCAACGAUCGUGGAUCAAUUUUCUUAUAAAAACAAGGUUCACUAGUAGUAUGGAUGUUUGGUAUGACAUAUAUGAUUAUGGGCAGUGUUUUCAGGAUCUAUCAAUUAUGUCAGUUAGGAGUAGUACUUAACACUAGCUUACAUGGUUAUGCGUUGGUUAGAAGUACCUCCCACGUUUCUAAAUCCAGAUUUUGUAUGACCUUGUACUAUGUAUUUUUAGAUCAGUUCGCCAGUUUUCAUGUUAUGUUUAAUUGGUCAUUGUGUUAGCAUGAUUUUAGACUUAUCAUAUCUAAAUAUCAUGUUUUUACACAUUUCCUCAUUCAAGUACUGACCGCAUACUUUUGUUCCUAUAUGGUUUGAUAAUAUAAGUUUAGGUGUUCAUCAUUCGAGUCAUGAUUAGUAUAGGUUUUGAUUAGCUAGAACCAUUAUUAGUGAGUCCUCAUCUCCUCGAAGACCCCAACUAUGAUUUCAUUUCUGUCAUUACAUUCAGUUUUCAGACUUGUUAAGUUAUCUAGGGGUUUGUCCUAGAAAAUUAUUAUGAUUAGAGGCUUCUAGACAAUUAGUUUAGAUUUUUGCUUGUGCCUUUGUAUCAAAUUAUCUUUUAUGAUAUGAUAAUGAUUUGAGACUUAUCCACAUGCCUAGUAACAAGGUAGGUGCAUAGACUGAUGUCCCCAAUGGGUUCCAACUGAAUGAUGAGCAAUAUGUGUGUAUCGGUAGGACAAACAUGCAUCAUUCUCUAUGACGUUUACAUUGUAUUGCACCUCAUUAUCACUGAUUUAUAUCUAUCUAUGAGUGAAUUGUUAUUACCAUGGUUAUUGAAUUGGAAAAAUUGUAAUGGUGUUGUUGAGAAUCUGAUGGUGUAGCUUAUUUGAUGGGUUAUUUGUAUUGAGUAUAUCCUUUGUUGCUAUUGAAAUUGCUAGGAUGGGCUAGAUUCUGAUUUUUGUGCAGGUUGUAGUGUUUGGAGGUUUGAAUGGUGUCAGGGUUGAGGGUGUUCAACACCACUUUGUUUAGGGCUAGCUGGGGAUACUUGUAGAGUACCAUUGUUGUUUUGAUACUCACUUCCUUGUUUUUCUACACUUGUGUAGGUUACGAGCCCGAUUUUUCCUAAUCAUUUUCUCGCAUCAGUGUCUGAGGCUUGCACUUAGGAGGGUAGGUCCAGUUGCCAACACUCUCUUAUUACCUUGUUCGGUAAAGAUCCAUUCCACAGUUCUUGUUUCCCUAUUGAAGAAGUGUUAUGAAAUCCCAACUCAGAUAUAUUAUCCCCCUGUAGUUGACUUAGCCAAUCCACACUGCCCUAAUCCUAAGUUCGAGAAUAGUUGAGAAGAGUAAUAAAGCUGUGGAACAACUUUUGGUUAAAUGGCAUGGGGUUACCAACAGAUGCUACUACUUGGGAGUUCGCCACCACCUUGAAGACCAAAUUUCCUUUAUUUGAUCCUUGAGGACAAGGAUCUUGUAUUGAAAGGGAGUACUGUUACAUGAUUAGUUACAAUCCCAUGUGUUAGUUAAAGGUAGUUAGUUAACUACAGUGAAAGUUAGUUAAGAGUAGUUAGUUGGUAACAAAUUCCUAUUUUUAGCUUAAAAGUUCAACUUAGUUUAAUUCAGUUACUAUAUAACUUGUAAUCAACUCAUUGUUCAAGAAUGAUAUGAAAUAUACAAAUUUCUCUCUCUCUCUCUCUCGCUUUCUAAACAUUCUUCUCAAUUCUUCUUUACUAACUGUUUUCUCCUGAAACUCCAUAAACAGUGCUUCGAUCCUCGAAUUCAUUGUGAAUUCCUACAAUCAGGUAACAACACGUGAUUUGGUUUUGGGUUCACUAGGCUUGGGAUCGCGUCUGAUUCGCGAUGUUCUUCGCUGGGCUGGUUCGCAUUUUGCUGAGUUUUCCUAUGAAGAAGAUAAAGUGGGGCGGUGGUAUACAUAUGUACUGAUGGGUUGACAUUGUUGUGAGCUGUUGUUGGUAUUUUUUGUGAACGGGUGGGAUUAGUCUUUGAAUUGGAAUUGAGGAAAUUAGGCUAAAAUUGGUAUUUGGUCGGUUGUGUACAAGAAAAAAGGCCCAAAAUUGGUCUUAAGGAUGGGUUGAAAGAGUUGAAAGGAAAUGGUCAAAUGUGCAAAUAAAAUAGGCUAGAUUUCAAAUUAAGACAUGGCCAUAUGAGUUCAAUUAUAGCCAAUUGAAGUUAAGAAUUUAGCCAAGUUGAGUUUAACUGGUGAAUUUGGCUAAAAUUUAAAUAAGACAAAUUAAUACGGAGGAAGAGUAUCGGGAGUGGUAUAUUCCCAGAGUCUUGAGAUCUUUCUUUUGCUAUUCUCCAGCAGCUCUAGGAGUUCCCGUUCUCGCUUUUCUUUGAUGGAACGGGAGAUCGCACCUUCAGCGAAGAAAUAAGGUGACCAACUGGAAGUUUUUGAAAUCCCAACAAUAUUUUCUAUAUGAGUUCAUUGCAUCACAAAUAUCUUGAUAGUUAUCAUUCAAUAAUAUAUUAAAUUAAUUAACAAGCUUCUUAAUCUUAAUAAAAUAAAAUAAAAAACUUAACUAUAAACUAAUUAACUUAAGAAUAUAAACUAUUAAUUAACUAAACUAAUUAACCAAAUAUUUAAGUAAAACUAUAAUAUUUUUGAGACAAUUUUCGAAUAUUCAUAGAAUAUACUAAUUAUAUACAUAAUGAUAUAAAAACAUAUAUAUAAUUUAAAAAUAAAAAAAAGGUGACAAAAAUAUUUAAAAAUAACUUGAAAAAAUAUUUUGAAUUUUAUAAAAUUAAUUAUUUCAAAUCAUGCAAAAUUGAAGAAGUCCGAGAAUUAAUUUAUAUUGUGGAGGGUUAAAAUUGAGUGUCAACAGCCAUAUUUUAGAUAUGUUCUAAAUAUAAUCUUUUGAAUAUCUUACGUCUAUUGAUUAUAUGUUAUGAUGAGAUAAUAGACAUGAUUAGAUUACUUUUAGGUCAAAACAAGAAAGAAAAGGUCCAUAUGAUGGAUUGAAACGUGAAGCUUAGUAAGCCAGACUUAAAUGGAGCAAAAAUAGCUACAGAAAAAACCAUGAGAUGAGCUUCGCAUUGCACCUGUAUAAGAGCUAAAAUUUAAGGACACAAGAAAAGAGGGCGGAGUCUGAGAUAGACCACAUACCAUCAACCAUAUAUAGCCCAACAUGAUAGGCCCCACACCAUGGCACUCUAUCUACUGGACUAGGUUUGACCUAGUCAAAGUAGAAUCCAAUUGGAAUUAAGAUUUUGACCAUAUUAUUAUAUGUCUUUAAAUGAUGUUUUUAGGAUUAAGAAUUAGUAGUAGAGGAUUACAACUUAGUCUUAGAUUUGAGAAUUCAUUAUCUUAGUUUUUAGGGUUUACUUUAUAGUUUUAGUAGAUUAUUGUGGAGCAAGAAUAAUUCACUUUCAAGAGCUGCAUCUUACUACUUUCUUGUACAUUCAUGUUCUCUUGUAGUUUGAUUUAUUAUAAAUAAUGUUUUUCGGUAGUUAUGAGUAACUAAACUCAUAACUAGGGUUAUGGAACUUAGAGUAGGGAUGAUGAUAAUUGAUUAUAAAUAUCUUUCCAUGAAAGGUUGAUCAUUGUGUAUUAAGUUCCUUUCACACCUAACAUUUUCUUUAAAUGGUUGAUCAUGUCAUAAAGAACUUGUUUGUAUUUUGACUUGUUUGACCAUAGAAGUGCAUAUCAAGAAAAAGGAUCAUUACAAGGAUUUGAUUUACCAUCUAGUAAGUUGAGCUCCAGAAUAAAUAGUUUACUUGAUACAUUUAAUAGAUGAAUAAAUUAAUUUGACAUCCAAGUGCCGGAAAAGGAUUUAGGGUGAUAUUCUCUUAAUUGGACCGAGAGUUUGUAGGAGACUUAUAGAUUUGUCAGUUUUAGACACGGAACACACCUGAAUGAAUUAAUAGUAAAAUAUUUAUUUGAGUUUCGAUAACUAAGAACUCUAACCCUAAUUCAUCUUUCUUAUUGAUAAAAUCCAAGUAGUUGAACAUCGUUAGGAGAUGUUAAUAAAAAAUCUCAAUUUCCCCAUAAUAGUUACUGAUUUGAAUCUCAACAUCAAACAAUAAAAGAACUCUAGUACGAUGUCUCUGGAAUUCGACUUCAACCUAAUAGGGUUAAUAUAUCUUGCAUCGAAAGCUUUAAUUCCAUAAAAAAAGAGUAUAGUUUGGAUGAUCUCAGGCCUUGCUGGCUAGAAAUUACUUUUAAAUCGAGUUAUUCUUGUUUAGUUUCUUGAUUUUAUCAUUGGUAUUACAUUGAUAGCAUAGCGAUUCAACAAGAGUCGACACAUAAUUAAAUGUGGCACCUGGUACUAGUUGCAACCUUGAGUUGGAGUGUGACACCAAAACCUUCAAGCAUUGUCUGUAAAAUACAAAUUCUACAUCUUUUUUAGAUCGUACAACCCUUUCACACAGAUGUAAGGGGGGGGGGGGAUUUUGCAAUAAUUUCUAUCUUUGCUUUGUCAACUUUGAUUCCCCAUUCUAAUAUUUUCCCCCAAAAAAUAUGUCUUUCUUCACCAUGAAGUGACAAAUUUUCCAAUUUAAAAUCAAGAUAAUUUUCUCAAAUGUUUAAGAACUUUACUAAGGUGAUUAAGACACUCGUCGAAGGAGUCUCCCGAUAUGGAAAAGUAAUCCAUGAAGACUUAUAAGAAUUCUUCAACCAUGUUUGAUAAGAUGGACAUCGUGCAUCUUUAAGAAUCAAUUUUUGGGUGUCGCAUAACCCUAAUGGAGUCGUAAGAUUGACUGUAGGGCUUGCUUAGAGUUUUAGGCCUAGAAAGUGACUCUACGAUUGACCAAGAUGUUCCCUAGAAAGUCUUACGAAUUGUAGGUUGAAAUCAUAGGUCACUCCAACAAUUUUUAAUUAUAGGUAUUUUGGUCUUUUUCCUACCCAGCUAACCCCUAAAUUCUGUCGUUUUGGACCUAUAACUACCCAUUUAACUUAAUUUACUCUUCAAAAGUACCCCAUUCCCUCCUAUUUUCUCAAACAAAUUUUCUCAAGGGUUACCUCUCCAAAUUCUCUCUCAAGCUCAAGGAAGAAAAGAUAAGUUUUAAAGCUUCAAGGUCUUCUCCUUAUCUUGCUUUGAUAGGCUUUGAUAUCAAGGUAUGUGGGAAGUCGCCAAUGGAUUCCUUUCAUCCAUUGGGUCCCAAAAGAAUAUCAAUCUCCUGAAUUAAUUUCACCCUAUUUCAUUAGGUUUCAUGCAAUUCUCCAUGGGUCCUAUUUAUUAUGACUCAAUUGUUUAUUUUCAAUAUUAUUAUGCAUAAUUUGAUUCAAUUAUAUCGUUUUCAAUUGAUUUCAUAUGGACUAAUGCCUAUGAUGACUUUAUGAACAUAAAUUAUGAUCAAAUCUUAUGAACUCAUGAACUACAAUUAUAAAAGCUAUGCAUGUUUUAUGAAAAGGAUGAUUUAUGAAUAAUGAAUGUUUUUAUAAUAAAUAUCAAUGAUUUGUAAAAGGUUUUCACACAUAUGAAUGAAAUUAUGAUUUAGAUGCUUAGAAAGGUAAGCGUCUAAUAUGAAGAAGUUUAUGAAAUCAUGAUUUAAAGGAGCUACCCUAUGAUGACUUAUGAUUGAAUUGGUAGUUUAAUUGUGCCUUUCUAAGUAUUUUGAUAUGAAUAUGAUUAGGUCUUUUCCAUUGGGAUUUACUAAGAGAACUUUGGAAUGGAGGCCCCACUGCUAGUAGAAGUUUGGUCUUCAGUAGCAAUUCUUUUGACUCAAACUACAUGCCUCCAUAAGAUUGUCUUAAAUAACUUAGCUAGUGGAUCCAUAAUAACAAUUAUGAAUGAAUGUUAUGGGGUCUACCUUAGCAAGUAAUUGAACCCCUACUCUCGAGUCAGUUCUGAUUAUAAAUUAGUUUCCAGAAGUGUUCCUCGAUGACCUUCCUGGUAUUCCUCUCGAAAGGGACAUUGACUUUGGAAUUGACCUUUUCCCAGAUACACAACAUAUCUCUAUUUCUCCAUACCUUAUUGGCCCGACAGAACUUAAGGAAUUAAAGGGCCAAUUAACGGACUUGUUAAAUAAAGGUUUUAUUAGACCGAGUAUCUCUCCAUGGGUUGCUCUGGUGUUGUUUGUUCGAAAGAAGGAUGGUUCCUUCUUAAUGUGCAUUGGCUAUUGGAAAUUGAAUAAGGUCACCAUAAAGAAUAAGUAUCCUAUUCCAAGGAUUGAUGAUUUAUUUGAUCAACUACCAGGAUCAAGUUACUUCUCUAAGAUUGAUCUUUGAUCGUGUUAUCACCAAUUGAGGGUAAAAUAAGAUGAUAUUGUGAAGAAAUAUUUCCAAACUCGGUAUGGUCAUUAUGAGGUUUUGGUAAUUUAUUUUGGUUUGACUAAUGCCUAGAGGUUGUAAUCCUCGAAUUUCGAGAAAUGGCUAAAAAGGCAAACAAGCAAGUCCACGAACCCAAAAUGGACCAUGGACCCUUCACGAGACCUUAGACGGUUCUUUUAGGGGACCACAACCCAUUUUGGGCAUCGUGAAGAUUGCCCAAGGCAUCCAAGGUGAAGGUCACCUAGACGAGCCACUAAACGGCCCGUGGUGACUUGUACGGUCCGUUUAUUGGUCCGUACAAAUCACCCGUCAUAUUUUGAGUUUUGGGCUAACUUCAAAAUUAAAGGAAUCAAUCAAUAAAAAAUUGUAUGUUGUAAUUCUUGGCCCUUAAAUGAGGAACAUAAGUUUUUGAAUUUGAAACAAUAAAUUCAAGAAGAUAUACACAUUGUUCCUCCUCUAUAAACUCUUCCACAUGCUCAGAUGGCUUGAUUAAUUUCUUAUCAUCUAAACAUAAUGUAGAAAAAUGAUUGAAAUGAGGUCCAAUGCGCUAACUCAUGAAAUGUAGUGCUAUUUACAUCCUCGUAUUUACACAUACUAGAGUUUUUAAAAAUAAUAUUAUCUACUUCAUUGCAUAACUCUAGUGUACCCUUCUCAAUAGUGGCAACAUCAAUAAAGAUAUGAUCAAGUAAUUCGCCCUACAAUUUUAGUUUUUUCAAGUUGGCUUACAAUAAUUUUUUCUUACUCACAUAUUAUAUAACUGACUUAUUGGGUGUGAAACGCAUCAAUCUUUGCGUUCAACUCAAUAUCUAAAUUGUGAAUAUCGAAGCCAAACAUAUCAAUCUCAUACUCGAGCUUAAUAUUUCUUUCUAGUAAGAGUAUCAAACCUUCUUUUAUGUCCUAACACUGACCAUUGAUUGCAAAAAGUAAUAACGUCUUAGAAUCCAUAAUAUCAAAAGUACAUGUAUUGCAAGAACACUUAUCACUACAUACUUUUUCAAAUGACAUCUCAAGAAGAGUAAAUUAAUAAUAAAGAAAAGUAAAUAAAAAUAAGACUAAAAAAACUAUAAACAAAUAAGGACUACAAGUUGAAAUAAAUAUUAAAGACAAUUUCUAAGUCACAUUUCUCGAAAUGACAUUUUUUUUGAUAAUGUCCUAAUAUACUUCUUAAAAAGAAAUAUAAACAAUCAUUUGCAAUAUAUUUACCCAACUAUGGUCGGGGUCAAUCCCACGGAGAAUAUGAAAGAAUAUUGUCAAUACUUGAUAGUCGAUAUUUAAAAAAGGAGGAUUUGAAUUGAGAAAAAAUAAUAAAAAGAAUAACAAUAGCUUGGAACUAAAUAUUUAUUUGUAUUUAGAUUAUUAGAAGUAACUAUGAAUGUGUUCCCUGUGAUUUCAUUACAUAAAAAGAAUAUUGUACUAGUGCUCUAUUGCAAUUUUUAGCACACAAGAAUUGUAAGUUAGGUAUCUCCAAGUGAUUAGUUGUCCAAAUAGGGAAUUUCAUCAUGCAACGUGGUCGGUCUACGGGUUUGUGCUUUAAUAACCCUUACCCUUGACCCCAUAUUAGCUCUCACAGGUGUGGUUCAAGCUAUUAGGUAACUGUUGUAGUCGCUAAAUCUCCAUUGUUUAAUCUCUUAUCCCAUUCAUUACUUCCGUGGUCGGGCAAGUACGAAUAAGGCGAGUUCUAACAUUUUCCACCGUUAAAAAACAAUUAAAACGAAGAGAUUAAAAAUACAUGCAUAAAAAUCAUUUAAGAAUCACUUUUUACAUUAACUUACUUUGAUAAUUCAUCAUGGUUUCCACAACCCUAGUUAUGAAAUUUAGCUACACAGUAACUUAAAAACUGUCACGGUCCAAGCCUACACACCUGGACGUGACCGAAAGUCGAGAACCAUUGCUGACCCCAAGCGAAUCCUCAUCAUGGCUGACUACAAGAAGAAGACUAACUCAUGUAUACACAAGCAUCAAACUGAAAGAAAUGCUAUAUCAACUGUCUAAUAAAUCUCAAAACUCUCUGAAUAUACUGAAUAUGAAGCAUUAGUUUUAAAUAAAAUAUCUGAAACUGAAAGACUCUCCAAAAUUGUCUAUCUAUAAAGCCUCUACUAUACAAAGAUGAGUAUUGGGACAAUACCAACGACUCCUCAAAAGAACUACUACUAACAACUCAUAAAACUAGAGUCCUCCAGAAGAUAUGAGGUCGUACUCAAAAGCUGACGAGCGGAUGAAGUGAUCUCAACAGACUCUUGUUGAGGAUCCUAAGAACAUGUAUCUGCGUCAUUAAGAGAUGUAAGUCGAAUGACAUCAGUACAUUAAAUGUAUGAGUAUUUAGAGUGUGAGGAUGAACUAGCCCAACACUAUGAUAGCCUUACAUACCUGAAAGAACAAGGUUCUUAAUGAAUCUUGAAGAAGAACUUGAUUAGAUGCCUUGAAACCCUAGCCUGAAGGAGAGCAAUCAAGAAAACAUUUCUUGGGAUUCUUGAAUUAGUUUCUUGAAAUCUCUAUGGCCAAGAAUUAUAAUUUUCAUUAGUGAUUCAUAAUUGUAUGGAGGAAUUUUAAUUGGAAAGAAUGAAAUUCUUGGAGAAGGACUUACCUUGAAGAAGAAUCUUGAAUGGAAGUCUUCUACUUUAAUUUUUCUUUAGGGUUUGAGAGAGAAGAGAAUGUUGGAUUAAGAGGUGAAAAUCCAAUUGGGUUGGUUCUUUAAUUAGUCAAAAAAUUCGUUUAGGGUUUUCUUAGAGGUAAAAAGACAAAAACGACCCUUUUUAUUUUUUCCCAUCGGCUAAUUCGUCACUGCACUGUAUCAGGUUACUAAAAUGGUCAUAACUUUCUACUUGGAACUCAGAUUGAUGCCAAACCGGUGGCAUUGGAAAGAAGAUUCAAAUACCUUUAAUUUGAUAGGUUAUGGGCCACAUAACUCUUUAUAUUCUAAGAGAUAUGAUUAUUUAAAGUUGACCCUAGUAGAAUCUUACAUCAAAACUUUAUUGGUAUGGAAGCUUUCAACUCAACUUUUUUCUAGGGAGUUCUAGUGACCUUAAUUCAUAUCCAAAUUCAUUUCACACUAUAUAAUUGACCUUUACACAUAUGAGUAAUUUAAGAAUCACUCGUUACGACCUUACAUGUAAAUAAAGAAUAGUUCAGGCCUUAGUUUAGAAAUUUUUGGGGCGUUACCAUAUCUCCCCCUUGGGAUCAUUCGUCCUCGAAUGACAGUUAAACUAAGAAUGAAUGGGAAAAGAGUUACUAUCACUAUCUCUCUUGACUUAGAGUUUUGAAAAUGGACUAGAGCAUAUAAGUCAUGAAUGUAUGAGUUUGAAUAUAGUCACAUUGUAUAUGAAAUUAUUUAACAUGAAACAAGGAUAUCUGGAUGCAAAGUAAGAAUAGAACUACUAUGCCUUAAGCGAUAGACUGAUAGCUUUCAAGUUUAGCAACACUUUCCAUCCCGCUCUUUAAGAAAACUACUCGUCAUCACCAUCACUAACAUAACUGAAAAGGGAUCACUGAAAAAGCUUAUAACGAAAGAUCAUAAGCACGAUUCAUUCGAGAAAUCUGAUGUAAGAAUAUGAAUGACGAAACAUUAUGUUGCUAGUCAUUGAGAGUAAAUCAUGAAUUUUCUAGACUGGGCAUACUAUGAGACAUGAGUGCUUAUCUGAAUAUGUGUCAUGCCUUAAGCCUACACCCUACACGUGAUCGACACUCGAGAACCAUUACAAGUCCCCAAGCGAACCCUUGGCUUGUCUCAUUACUCAGCGAAAGACAUUACUCAUCAAUAUAAGGACUCAAAUGCAAACUCAACUCAUAAGGUCUCAUAAAUAAAUUAGUUUAACUCAAAAAUACUCAAAUGAACAUAAGUGUUCAACUCAAAGUCUUUAAAACAUCAACAAGGGAAAUGAGAAAAAGACUCUUCAACUAUUACUGUCUAUGAAGCCUCUAAUAACUAUGAUAGAUAUCGGAACAAGAACCACGAUAUCUUAACAGAACUGAAAAAUAAAUGUGAAACCCUCCGGAAGCAAGAAGGCUCACCAAAGCUAGCUAGAAUCCGAUGGGAUCAACGAAGCACUGGUUGAUGAUCCUGAUUACCUGUAUUUGUAACAUGAAACGAUGUAGGCCAAAUGCCGUCAACAUAUUGAAUGUAAGAGAAUGUAAGGGGAACACUGAAACAUAACAUAAAACUUGAACUGAUUGAAAGGAAGACAUACUCACCCCGUCUCAACUCAACUCAAGAAUACUCAACUCAACUCAAUAUGAAAACCAUGAUAAUAAGAUUCAAUAUAUAAAGCUUUCUAAACAAUAGACAAGUAGUCAAAAUGUAUAAAAAUAUAAUAAUAUCUCUUUACUCUUAUUUGAGAGAUUCUUUAACCGACAACCACCACUAUGAGUUAUGUGAUGAUACAUCGUCUCCCCACGCUGCCAGAAAUUUCCUAUACCUUUACGGAGUAUAGGACAUCAUUAACUAAGUGAAUCUACUAAGCUAUGCUUAAAAGCAAUAAGGAAUCAUCUAAAAAGUAUGAUCCUUUAAUCAUGUUGGCAUACAUGGUUUAUGAGGAUUUUGAGUUGUCUGAACUCAUCCCCAUAUCAGUGCUCAAUACUACUCCCAAUAAUAUAUAACUCAUGCUCAUAUGUUAAAAAACAUUACUCCUCCUCAAUUUGAGAUAAUUGCUCAAAAGGUUCUCUUAAAAGAGAUAAUACUCAAAACUCUGCAUGAACUCGUUAUAAAUCAAGGUUUCCUCACAUUUUAAAUGUAAUUUUUUUUACACUUGGGAAUACUUAGUUCCCUUUACUCAUUUUGAAAUAUAAACUCAACUCUCCUCAUUCUCCUACUCAUUUACUCAAGUCUUAAAACAAAUUAUAAGUAAUUGUGGAAGACUUCUCAAAAUGACUCAGAAGGACUUUCUCGAACUUUACUCUUAAUCUUUACUUUGAUUUGAAAUGAAGAUUUAAAAGUUAUUAUUAGGAUAUAUAGGAUCUCUCAAUGAUUAAUGAAGACUUAGAUAGUUGGAAAUAAAAAGAAAGCGAAGACACGAUUCAAAGGAAAGCAUACGAAACGGAGAAUGGAGCGGAAGGGGGCCCGAUGCCCUUGGUGCAUUAAUGGCGCACCGCACCAUGCCAUCCCUCAUUUGCCUGAGGCUGGUUUGUGGCUCAGUGCAGGAGCAGGGUGCUAGCCACCAUGGUUCUACGGGGGCGCGUUGCCCCAACCCAUUCCCAGAACGUCCUGGCAAAUUUUCUUCUCGAUUUUUGGUCCUAAUUUAACUAGAACCGAUUGAUUUCUUCCAAACUCCCUUAGAUUCAUAAACCCAAUAUAAUUAAUCAAAAAUACACCCAAAAACCCCCAAGAAAAACACUCAUUCGCAAGACCCUCACCUCAAGAACUCAACAAAACUCCAUUGUUAAAGAAUGAAACACAAAAGCUCAAGAACUCAACAAAGAAUCUCAAUAUAUACAAUCUCAUGGAUGAAUUCGUAAUUGGUAACUCAUGAUAGGAGUGAGGGUGAACAAACCUAACACUAUGAAAACUUACAUACCUCGAAUGAACCAAAUUCUUGGCAAAAAUCCUCAAAACUCAAUGAAUGCUUGAAACUUUCUUCUUUUCUCCUCUUGAACUUUGCCCUAGACUUCUAAACACUUUUGGAAUGUUUAGAACUGACUUAGUAUGAUUAUACUCCUUAACUUGGGUGGUUAAAACGUGCUAGGCUAGUGGGGUAAGGAAAAUAUCAAAAUACCACUCCUUAAAAUGGAUGAGAACGCCUUAACUAGACAGGACACACUCAACAUGCAUAUCUCCUUCAUCCAAACUCAAAAUUUAGCAAACUUGGCGGCGUUGGAAAGAGGACUCAACGACCUUCAAUUUGAUAUCUCAUGGGCCACCUAACUCACCCUGUGUUGAAAGUUAUGAUUGUUUGAAGUUGACACAAAACUCAAAAUUGAAGAGUAACUUGAACGAAUCUCAAUUUAGCUCUUUUAGGUGUUACAAUAGGUUCAUAUCAUGAGGUUGAUAUCCAUAACUUUAUGGGGUAAGAUUGAGAUCAAUCGGCUAAAUUCUUUGCCCCUCAUUCUGGGAAUUGAGCAUAGAUUUGAAUCUAUGUGAAGUGUACGAGCAUGGGUUAUAGACACAAUUACGAUAUUAUAAACAUCAGCAGGAUGUUGUAAUGACUGAACUUUGAGGAAUACACUAAUGUAACACCCCGUAUUCUAGACAGACCAGAAAUGCAGAUUCCAGAAGUUGCAGGUGCCAUCAACGGUGCCACCUAUGGACCAUAGGGUGAUCCACAGACCGUAGGUGGGGUCCAUGGUUGGCCACCUGCAGCUCCCUUCCCAGAACCCUAGAAUUUUUGAGCCAAGUCUUGACCCAUGCCAGGACCUACGGACCGUAGGUGGGACCAUGGUUCGUGGUUCAGACUCCUCAAAACCCCAGAAAAAUUUAGUUAAGUGCCUAUGAGCCAAUCUUAGAAUGGAAGGGUAGUAGCUCAAUACCUAUAGGUCGAUUCAUUUCUUACCGUAAGGCCAAAAAUAUUAUUUCUAAGAGUUGUCUCUAUCAUCUUGUUCGCGUCAAGGAUUCAAGCUUCGAAAUCCCAACUCUUGAGUCAGUUCCAAUAGUUUAUGAGUUUCCAGAAGAUCUUCCCGGAAUUCCUCCUGAAUGGAAAAUUGACUUUGGAAUUGAUCUCCUUCUAGAUACCCAACCUAUUUCAAUUACUCCUUACAGAAUGGCUCCAGUUGAGCUUAAGGAAUCAAAGGAACAAUUGAAAGACCUUCUAGAUAAGGGCUUUAUCAGACCUAGUAUUUCCCCAUGGGGUGCACCAGUGUUGUUCGUGAAAAAGAAAGAUGGUUCUCUCAGGAUGUGCAUCGACUAUCGACAGUUGAACAAAGUCACAAUCAACAAUAAGUACCCUAUCGCCAGGAUUGAUGACUUGUUCGACCAACUUAGGGUGCUAGUCAUUUCUCAAAGAUAGACCUAAGAUCUGGUUAUCAUCAGCACAGAGUCAGAGAUAAUGACAUUCUGAAAACAUCCUUCAGAACUCAGUAUGGUCAUUAUGAAUAUGUAGUUAUGUCAUUUGGACUAACCAAUUCUCAUAUAGCUUUCAUGGAUUUGAUGAACAUGGUGUUCAAAUAAUAUUUGGACUUGUUCGUUAUCGUCUUUAUUGAUGAUAUCCUCAUUUACUCUAGGAAUGAGGAAGAACAUGCGACUAAUUUGAGGGUUGUCCUGAAAACUCUCAAAGAUCGCCAAUUAUUUGCUAAGUUUAGCAUAUUUGAGCUUUGGUUGCAAUCAAUUGCUUUCCUUGGGCAUAUAGUAUCUAGCGAAGGGAUCCGAGUGGAUUCUCAGAAAAUAAAGGCAGUGAAGCAAUGGCCCAGACCUACCUCUCCUAUAGUUAUCAAAAGUUUCUUGGGUUUGGCUGGUUACUACAGAAGGUUCGUGGAAGGAUUUUCAUCCAUAGCUUCUCCAUUGACUAAUUUAACUCAGAAAAAGGUUAAGUUCUAGUGGUCAGAUGAAUGUGAGAAGAGCUUCGAACAACUAAAAACUAGGUUGACUACAUCUCUAAUUUUGACUCUACCAGAGGGGUCAGACGGUUAUGUUAUCUAUUGUGAUGCAUCCAGAGUCGGCCUAUAUUGUGUGUUGAUGCAGCAAGGUAAGGUUAUAACUUAUGCUUCUAGACAACUUAAGGUGCAUGAGAAGAACUAUCCAACUCAUGACCUCUAGCUUGGAGCAAUGGUAUUUUCCUUUAAGAUUUGGAGGCAUUACUUUUAUGGUUUUCACAUAGAUGUGUUCACAUACCAUAAGAGCCUUCGCUGUAUGUUCACCUAGAAAGAUUUGAAUCUUAGCCAAAGAAGAUGGCUUGAGUUCCUCAAGGACUAUGAUAUGAAUGUACUUUACCAUCCUGGUAAGGCCAAUAUAGUAGAAGAUGCUCUUAGCAGACUAUCUAUGGGUUGUGUAGUGCAUGUUGAGGAAGAAAGGAAGGAACUAGUGAAAGAAUUCACCGGCUUGCUUGCUUAGGAGUUUGCCUCAUGAGCAUAUCAGAUGAUGGUGUAACAGUUCAGAAUGGGUCAGAAUCUUCAUUGGUAGCGGAGGUUAAGGAAAAACAAGACAGUGAUCCUAUAUUUCUUCAACUAAAGGGUUCAGUUUAUCAGCAGAGGGUUGGGGUUUUCUCCCAAAGGGGAGAUGGUGUGCUUUGCUAUCAGGGUCGUUUAUGUGUUCCUAAGGUGGGUGAGUUGAGACAAAAGAUUCUUGCAGAAGCCCAUAACUCCAGGUAUUCUAUUCAUAUAGGUUCCACUAAGAUGUACCGUGAUCUGCGGGAUGUUUUUUGGUGGAAUGGCAUGAAAAAGGAUAUAACAGAUUUUGUGGCUAAGUGCCCCAAUUGUCAGCAAGUGAAGGUAGAACAUCAGAAACCGGGAGCUAUGACUCAAGAGAUCAACAUUCCUAUAUGGAAGUGGGAAGUGAUCAAUAUGGACUUCAUUAUAGGUUUACCUCGUACUCGCAAACAACAUGACUCCAUUUGGGUGAUAGUAGACAAAGUCACUAAGUUUGUGCACUUUUUGGCUGUUAAGACUACAGAUUCAGCGGAAGACUACGCCAAGCUUUACAUUAAUGAGAUAGUCAGGUUGCAUGGGGUUCCUUUGUCUAUAAUUUCAGAUAGAGGUCCUCAGUUUACCUCUCAUUUCUGGAAAUUAUUUUAGAAAGGUCUUAGAACUCAGGUUAAUCUAAACACAUCAUUUCAUCCACAGACGGAUGGUCAGGUAGAGCGUACCAUUCAUACCUUAGAGGACAUGUUGAGAGAUUGUAUGAUCGAUUUCAAGGGUAGUUGGGAUGAUCACCUUCCUCUUAUAGAGUUCUCCUACAAUAAUAGCUACCAUUCCAGCAUUCAGAUGGCCCAUUAUGAGGCAUUGUAUAGGCGUAUAUGUAGAUCUCCAGUUGGUUGGUUUGAAGUAGGUGAAACAACCUUGAUAGGGACAGAUUCAGUUCAUGAUGCUAUGAAAAAAGUUCAGCUCAUCAGAGAUAGACUUAAGAUAGCACAGAGUCACCAGAAGUCCUAUGCAGAUGUAAAGAGAAGGGACUUGGAGUUUCAAAUUGAUGAUUAGGUUGUCCUGAAAGUGUCACCGAAAGGGGAUGAUGAGAUUUGACAAGAAAGGGAAGCUAAGUCCAAGAUAUGUAGACCCAUUUAGGAUCUUGAAAAGAGUUGGUAAGGUGGCUUAUCAGUUAGAGUUACCAGCAGAACUAGCAGUAGUGCAUCCGGUCUUUCACAUUUCAUUGUUGAAGAAGUGUGUGGGCGAUCCAGCAUCCACAGUACCAUUGGAAAGUGUGGCUGUCAAAGAUAGUCUCACUUAUGAGGAUGUGCCAGUUGAGAUUCUUGAUCGUCUCGUUCAAAGGUUGAGAAACAAAGAAGUCGCUUCAGUUAAGGUUUUAUGGAGGAGUCAGUCCGUAGAGGGAACUACUUGGGAAGUAGAAGCAGCCAUGAAGACCAAGUAUCCUCAUCUCUUUCCUUCUGAUUCCACUCCAACUUGAGGUAAUAGUUACUCUCCAGUUUUUCAGUCACUCAUGCGUAGAUUCAGUCUUAGUAUCAUGUUCCUCCAGUUAUACUUGCAUUUUCUGCGUAUUUGCACGUUUUUGGAACUUAGUUUAGUCAGAUUUCAGUUUCCAGUACUUAGUUGUAGGGUUUGCAGCUCUUUCCCUUCAUAUUCAGCUAGUUUAGUCUUCAUUUGAGGAUGAAUGUUCCCAAGGGGGAGAUAAUGUAACACCCCGUAUUCUAGACAGACCAGAAAUGCAGAUUCUAGAAGUUGCAGGUGCCACCAACGGACCGUAGGGUGACCCACGAACCUUAGGUGGGAUCUGUGGUUGGCCACUUGCAGCUUCCUUCCCAGAACCCCAAAAUUUUUCAACCAAGUCUUGACCCACACCAGGACCUACGAACUGUAGGCGGGACCAUGGUCCGUGGACCAGACUCCCCAAAACCCCAAGAAAAUUCAGCUAAGUCCAGAACCACGUCAGGACCUACGAACCGUAGGUGGGACCACAGUCCAUGGUUCAGACUCCCAGAUCCCAGGCUAUGAAGCCAGUCGAUGACUAACUAGGAUGGACCGUAGGUGGGACCAGGUCCGUCGGUUGGUCCCAAUAGAUUUUAAGUCAGGGGUCAUUUGGUCUUUUCCCUAUGCAUUGGUCACCUAAACUACGUCGUUUAAGACCCCAAACUACAUCGUUUUAGUCAGUUUUAGCCUAGUAACUUAAUUAGAACUUACCCUAGUCAACUCAUUCUCCAAAAUUCAUCCAAGUUGAACGAAAAGAAAGAGAAAGAGUCGACCAAGUCUCUCCAAGAACGCAACAAGGUUUCCUUUAGUUCCAACCCCCAAAUAGAAAGAUUUCUCCGUGAAAUUCAUCACCAGGUAUGUGGGAUUUCACUAGUGUAUUCCUUUAAUCCACUAGGUCCCUAGAAUUCAGUCAGAUUCUUGAUUCUCUAUAUCAUGUUUAGACCUAGGGUUUCUAGAACUUCAGAUUAUUGUUGUGAUUCAGUUGUUGGACUAAUCCAAAUUAGAUCAUCAUGUUUUCAUGGAAUUGUUGCUUAGUUCUUGCAUGAAACUUAGAACCCUAGUUGUGUAGAUUUGUUUAGUUCAUGAAUUACACUUGCUAGGUCAGUUUAUUUAGUUAUACGUGCUCCAGUUAAGAAUGUUUCAUUAUCAACAGUUCAUUCAGAUAUACAUGCCCAAGUUAAGAAUGUUUCAUAAUCAGUACAUUAAUGUUGCAUAUUCAGUUAGCAUGUCAAUAUUUUGAGCUAUUCAGUAUUACAUAAAUUCAGUUAUAAUGUGUUACUUACAUAUUCAGUUAGGAGUAGGAUUAAUGCCGAGUGGACUAGGGUCACUCACCUUCGUAGUCCUAGAACUACGUGCCCCCAUAGGUUAAGUCCCAUCUGUGGGUAUAAUAUUUAGUGAACACGCCAGUCAUGCGUUUAUAACCCUAGCAAGGUAUAUUGGGUCCUCUCGAUGGGGCGCUACAUCAGACUCCACAGAUAGCUCUCGUGGUUUUAUGUCGGUUAACAGUAGCUCCCACAAUCAGAUUCUAGUGCAUUGACCAGGUUAUCAGUAUAGUUCAGUAUUUAGUCUCAUCAUGUUAUGUACUUGGUCAUUGCAUUCAGUUAGCUCAGUAUUCAACAUAUUUUAAUAUUUACCUCAUGUUUAGAUUAUAUCAUUGCUAUUAUUGCUUUAUUCAGUUAUGUAUAUGUUAUUCAGCUUUAUCCUAUCAUGCAUGCUUAGUACCUUUCAAGUACUGAUGCAUAAUCUGCGCUACAUCUUCUCGUGAUGUCGGUUUAGGUCCUCAGCAUUCAGAUCAUGCAUAGAUUGGUUCCCGAUGUUUAGUUCAACAGCUUUUACGGUGAGUCCUCAUAUUCCGAGGACAAUAGACAUAUUUCUAUAUUUUGUCUUUUCAUUUCAGUUUUCAGUAUUUGCUAGGGUUAGCUAGGGGCAUGUCCCAACAUCUCUAGUCAGUUAGAGGCUUUAUUUCAGACAUAGACAGAUUCAGCUUUAGUAUUUGAGUUAUAGUUCAUUGUCUUAAACUCUUGCUUAGUAUUUAUUUAUAUUCAGACUUAGAUUGGGUAUUCCCCAUCAUUUCAGUUUAUCUCAUGUUUAAACUUCCGCACAUUACUUCUUGUUUCAAUUUAUGUUAGUAUGCUUAUGAUAUGCAACAGGGUUAGCUUGGGGUUACUCGUGAUCCUAGGUCCUGUGUCCACGUCUUGGGGGUAGCCUAGGGGAGUGACAAACUUGGUAUCAAAGCCUUAGGUUUAAGAGUCCUAGGAUGUCUGAAAAGCCACACUAAGUAGAUUCCUUUUCAUGGGUGUGAAGUGCACUACAUCUAAUGAGAGAGAGGCUACGAAGUGUUUUAGGAAAACUUCACUCUCUUUGUUAAUCUUAUCGUGCGCUGGUAUGAUCUCCUUUCUAAUCCAUCAUUUUGCACUUAAGAUCAUGCCUCCUCAUAAAGCUUACGCAAGGAAUGCUAAUGCACGCAAUGCUAAUGCAGUUCCUCUAGUUCCAGACCAUGACGUUUCGAACGCUAAGUUUCAAAAUGUGAUUCAGAUUUUGGCUCAUAAUAUGACCAACCAGUACAAUUAGCAGGACCCAGUUCCUACUAACACUAAUGUUGGGUCAGUUGUAGCUAGAGUUUGGGAUUUUGUUAGGAUGAAUCCACCUGAGUUUCUAGGGUCGUAGGUUGGUGAGGAUCCCUAAAUUUUCAUUGAUGAGGUCAAGAAAAUCUUUGGAGUGAUGCAAGUGACUGGGAAUGAUAGGGUAGAGUUGGCGUCCUACCAGCUUAAAGAUGUAGCUCACAUCUGGUUUACUCAAUGGAAGGAAAACACGGGUACGGAUGCAGUUCCUAUCACUUGGGAGUGUUUUAGUGAGACUUUUCUGGACAGGUUCUUCCCAAGGGAGUUGAGGGAGGCAAAAUAUCAAGAGUUCAUGAAUUUGAGGCAAGGUAGCAUGUCAGUCCAUGACUAUGGACUCAAGUUCACCCAACUCUCCAGGUAUGCUCCUUACAUUGUUGCUGAUCCAAGGGCACAAAUGAACUGAGUUCAUGAAUUUGAGGCAAGGUAGCAUGUCAGUCCAUGACUAUGGACUCAAGUUCACCCAACUCUCCAGGUAUGCUCCUUACAUUGUUGCUGAUCCAAGGGCACAAAUGAACUAGUUUCUGUAUGGGGUAUCCGACUUAGUGAAAACAGAGUGCCAAAAUGCUAUGUUGCUGAAAGAUAUGAAUAUCUCUAGGCUUAUGACUCGUGCUCAAUAGGUUGAGAGAGACAAGCUUAGGGAACAAGCUAAGGACAAUAAGAGGGCUAGGACAUGAAACUAUGAUUACUCUGAGCAGAAAUUGGGUGGUGGAAAUCACUCACAGUUUCAGCAGAAAUCUUCAGCUCCAACACCUUCAUCAGCUAGUGCUCCAUCCUCCAGGUUUCGAUAGGAUCAGAAAGCUAGGGCAUCAGGCUCUAAGUCUCAGGGAGUGUUUAGGUAAUAGAACCUACCCAACUUGUCCUAAGUGUGGUAAGAACCAUCCGAGUGAGUGUCUUGCAGAGAAGAAAUGAUGUUUUGGGUGUCGUCAGACUGGUCACAGGUUGAGAGAUUGUCCUUCUUCUAAACAUAGUAAAGGAGGUAAUAAUAGUAGGGCUCAGUAUACAACUCUAGUAGCACCAGUAGGUCACCCAACUCAACAGGGUGCUUCAUCUGGUACAGGUGGCGGUCAGCGCCAUAAUAGGUUGUAUGCUCUUCAGGCUCACCAGGACUAGGAAGAUUCUUCUGAUGUGGUCACUGGUACAUUACGAGUCUUUCAUUUUGAUGUUUAUGCUAUGUUCAGGGGCUACUCUUUCCUUUGUAACUCCCUAUAUAGCAGUAAACUUCAGUUUCCGUCGUGAAACUAGGAUCGUUCAUUUUCAGUUUCUAGACGAGCCAAUCUUAGAAUGGAAGGGUAGUAGCUCAGUGCCUAUGGGUCGAUUCAUUUCUUACCUUAAGGCCAGAAAGAUAAUAUCUAAGGGUUUUCUCUACCAUCUAGUUCGGGGUCAAGGAUUCAAGCUCCGAAACCUCAACUCUUGAGUCAAUUCCAAUAGUUAAUGAGUUUCCAGAAGAUCAUCCCGAAAUUCCUCCCGAAAGGGAAAUCGACUUCGGAAUUGAUCUCCUUCUAGAUAUAUAUUAUAUAUAGCAUGUUUUCCAAUGAAGCAGUGACAUGUGACACCUCUUGGCCCUUCGUAGAUCCAUCUUUGGCACCAAGGCUACACCCUAGACGUGGCCAACACUGAAAAAUCAUUGUUGGUCCCAAGUGAAUCCUUGUCCUGUCUGACUACUGAGCGAAAUACUAAACAUAUAUGCAAAAGCCUUAUAAAAUGAACAUUUAAAAUAAUUUAAAGAUAUCUUAUACAAAAAUCUGAAACAAAUCUAAAUAUAAAUAAUAUUUACUAUAAUAAUGUUUAAAACUUCUGAAUACUAAAGAUUGAACUGAUUCACUAACUUUGUCUAUCUAUGAAGCUUCUACUAACUGAAGAUAGGUGUAGUGAAAAGACCCACGACUACCUGAGUAUUCCACCAACAAUGGCUAAAAAUGAAAUAAACUUCACUAACUAAAUUGGAGCCCUCUGAAAGUGAGCUGGUCUCACCAACUAAUAAUGAAAAGAGAUCUUACUGAACGUCUGCUAUCGUGAGUUCCUGAAAUUGCAUCAUAAAAUGAUGCAGGGCAAAAUGAUGGCAGUAAAUGGAAUGCAUGGUAUGUAAUAAGACUAAAUGAAAUAAAUAAAUAACUGAAAUGAAAAGAGACUGAAAGGAAAGCAUGAACAUGAAGUGAAAUCAUUAAAACUUUACAAUGAGAUAUGCAAUAAUAGCAAAACACUAAAAUAAUAUACUUUACUUUUCUUAGGGAGUUUCUAGCAGCCAUCACUAUGAUCCUUGUGAUGAUACAACGUCUAGCCUACAUUGCCAGAGUCAUCCUAUAACUUACUGGAGUAUAUGACAACAUAACUGAACUUAUGGAUCCAUCUCUAACCCCUUAUUAAGGUUGGGUGAGGAGUCACCCGAACCAACGACACAUUCCUAUCUAUGUUGGCGGCACAGUUUAUGGGGUUUUAGUCAUCUUAAAUCUUACCCAAAUCAGUGCUCAAUACUACUUCCAAAACAUGCAUUAAUGCUCAUAAUAAUAUAUGUGUUGAGUUAAUACUCAAAUAUACCUCUUUAGGGAAUACUGAUCUUUACUUUGCUGAUUGAAACUUCUUCUAAAACCAUUUAUAUUGUUCUUAAAUUAGCAAUGUUUUUCUCAAUACAAAAUAAUGCAUUUGGAACCAAUAGUGUUCUCUUAAAAUUCUUCUCAAAUGAUAACUUAAAAUACUUGAACUUACUUUAAUUCAUAAGUCAAUGCAUGGAAAUAGUUAUACAAAGACUUUCAACAAUUCUCAACUAAAUAGGGUACAUGUGAUAAAUUAAGCAUGAACAUUAAUUCAAGAAACAAAAUACAUGAAGUAUCGUAAUCUCAAUGAUAAGAAUAAAAAUUCAAUAACGAAAAAUAAAGAUCAAUUUGAAGUUCAUGAAAACUAGGGUAGAAAACACUUGAUUUAACUCUUUCUAACUAAAUUUUAAAUGUAGGGCAUGAGGACGAACUUAGUCCAUCACUAUGAGUAGCCUUACAUACCUUAUUCACUCCAAAUUCUUGAGGAAGGUGACAUCUUUGGAGAAAAUGAUGGUAAGAAUUCAUUUCUUGAACCUUAGAGUUUUCUUGAAAACCUAUGAUAGAAGAUAUUAAUUGGUGUUAAUAUGAAGAUAUUAUGAAAUUAUAUGGUCAAAUAUUUUCUUGGAUGAUGGAUGAACCUUGGAGGAAGUUAGUUUCUUGAGAGCCUUUUUUUUACGGUAAAGUUUAGAACUAGAGAGGUAAACUACGUCUUUGGAGGUUAUUUAAAAUACUAUUGAGGUGCACUAUCAUGCAGAAAACAUGUGGGGCGCGCAGCCAACACCUAGGAAGGUGAUGUGAGGCUAAAAAUAUACAUAUUUAAUCAUUAUAUGGCUCAUAUUUAAUCUUUUCAUUAUCCUUUUUAUGCAUAAAUUUUAUGAGUUAUUCUUAUGUUGUGUAUUUAAUUUGUAGGAUUAAAAUGAUGUGAAGAUGAAGAAAUUUGGAGCACAAACGAAUUAAAAAAUAAGAAAUCAUAAAAGGAAAUCAAGAAGGCAACUUAAUAGAUUAAAUUUAAUAUAUAUAUAUAUAUAUAUAUAUAUAUAUAUAUACAUACUAGUUUUGACGCACAUGCGUUUCAUGUGAAUAUCAAAUCAAGUACCACACUAUUUUUAAAAAAUAAUGUGAAUAUAAAAAAUUAAAAAAUGUAAGUAAACAAUUACAAAAUGAAUGGUAAAGUAUAAGUUUCUAUGAAUAGUUGAUGUAAUUUUUUUUAUGAUUACUGUUGAAAGUUAGUCACUCUUAAAAUCUCUUAGUUACACAUCUUCAAUAUACUUUCUCCUCCCUCCUCCAUAGUGGGUUAAUUAAUUAUUAUUGUAUUGUUGGAGUUCUUGCUUUAAAUAUAAUAUAAUAUAAAUAAAUAUUGAUAUAAAAUAUAGAACAUAUACUAAAUUGGAUGUUUUUAGUUGCAGUAUUAUAUAAUUUAACAUUGAUGUUAGGAAGUAUUCAAAUUUCACUGAACAUUGAGAUUGUCAACAUCUGUAAAUCAAACUUGAGUUUUUAAGAAGAGAUGAAUAGAAAACAUAAAAAAUAUCAAUGUUUAAAAAUGUGAGGAAACCCCUCCAUUUAUACUUAACAAAGGUUGGUAUGAGCAUGUGCAUAUGGUUUCUUGUCAUAAAAGUCACCACCUUUUGGAAAGGUCACAAGUCAAUAGAAAAAUCACAACUCUUUGGAAAAGUCGUAAUCAUUCGAUGUGAAAUGAUGUCUUCAUUAAAUAUAAUAUAUUAUAAUAUAAAUAAAUAAAUAUAAUAUAAAAUAUAGAAAAUAUAGUAAAUUGGGUGUUUUAUCAAGAAGAAGAAGAAGAACAAUGAAAAACUUUACAAACUUGUAGUUCAAAAAAUUGAGGAAACCCCUCUUUUUAUAGCCAAGAAAGGGUUGCGUAUGAAGGAAUGCUUAUUGUCUCUUAUAAAAAGAAUCACAACCCUUCUAAAAGGUCAAAACUCAUUGGAAAAGUAAUAACUCUUUCAAAAAGUCACAACCCUUCGAAAAAGUCACAACUCUUCGGAAAAGUUGUAACCCUGUAAAAAGUCAUAGCUCUUCAAAAAGGUCACAAUUCAUCCAAAAAGUUAUAAGCCUUUGAAAAUGUCACAACCCUUCAAUGUGAAAAGGUGUUUGUUUUUAAUAUACUAUAAAUAAAUAAAUUUAAUACAAUAUAAAUUAUAGAAGAUAUACUAAAUUUAGUGUUUUAUGCUUGGGGUUUUAUUAUAAUUUAAUAUUUAAGCUAGGCAUUUCAUUCUUUUCAGGUAGAAUACAUAAAAAAAGAUACAUAUAUAUUUGUCUAAUUUUAAUUUGAUAUGAAAUUUUAAAAAACAAAAAAGCUUUUAAUUUAACGAUAUGUAGAAUAUAUAAAAACGUCUUUUAACUUUGUGGUCUUAAAGAUUUUCCCGCAACCACAGAAAAAAAAGA
rnacentral:lncRNA from 1 species